GUAUCUCCAGUUAUAACAGCUCCUUCGGAGGUGGAAAAGUUUUAUUAUACAGAAGCUAAAUUAGUUUGCAACGUGACAGGAUAUCCAAAACCUGACGUAAAAUGGCUAUACAAUCAUGAAGAAUACAAUGCUACUGGGGACACCUUUAUUAUAUCAACAGUUACAAAUGCCACUAUCGGAAUCUACACUUGUAUUGCAACAAACGAUGCUGGAACAAGUCAAGCAAACAUAAUACUUAAAGUCACAAACGAUGCACCUACUAUUGUUUCCUCACCAAAGCCAUCUAUAAGUAAACCUGGUGUUUCCAUCAAUUAUACAUGUGUAGCUACCGGACACCCUCUUCCUGUUAUUUUAUGGACG